rnacentral:rRNA from 1 species
GAAGCGGGAUGAGCUCAAAUUUAAAAUCUGGCGGCCUCAGGUCGUCCGAGUUGUAGUCUAGAGAAUCGUUUUCCGCGUUGGCCUGUGUACAAGUCCCUUGGAACAGGGCGUCAUAGAGGGUGAGAAUCCCGUCCUUGACACAGAUUACCAAUGCUUUGUGAUGCGAUCUCGAAGAGUCGAGUUGUUUGGGAAUGCAGCUCAAAAUGGGUGGUAAAUUCCAUCUAAAGCUAAAUAUUGGCGAGAGACCGAUAGCGAACAAGUACCGUGAGGGAAAGAUGAAAAGCACUUUGGAAAGAGAGUUAAACAGUACGUGAAAUUGUUAAAAGGGAAACGAUUGAAGUCAGUCAUGCUUUCCGAGACUCAGCCGAUUCUGUCGGUGUACUUCUCGGUUGGCAGGCCAGCAUCAGUUUCGAUCUGUGGAAAAGGUUGGAGGGAACGUGGCA